rnacentral:rRNA from 1 species
UACGGAGGGUGCGAGCGUUGUCCGGAAUCACUGGGCGUAAAGGGCGCGUAGGCGGACAGUUAAGUUGGGGGUGAAAGCCCGGGGCUCAACCUCGGAAUUGCCUUCAAUACUGGCUGUCUUGAGUGUGAGAGAGGUGUGUGGAACUCCGAGUGUAGAGGUGAAAUUCGUAGAUAUUCGGAAGAACACCAGUGGCGAAGGCGACACACUGGCUCACUACUGAUGCUGAGGCGCGAAAGCGUGGGGAGCAAACAGG